CAAAAGAGAAAAGUUUGGCCAGUGACGUAGGAUCGUGUGGUGAUGGGAGUACCAGGCCUCUGUCACCAGCAGAACCUAGCAGAUUUUAAAAGAAAAUUAAAGCUACAAGUGACGAUGAAUUGGCCCUCCCACAUUAAUGCAAGUCGGACCUGUUGCAGCAGCAGGAUGUUCAGCAGAAUGGGUCUGUGAUGCAGCCAAGCAUGUGCAGCAAUUAUGAGCAAAAUGGGUAAAUGGUGCCAUCUAUUGGAAAUAGUGAAAGCUGAAAAUAUGAAGCCCGGCCUAUCAAC